AACGCUAGCUACAGGCUUAACACAUGCAAGUCGAGGGGAAACGAUAGAGAAAGCUUGCUUUUUCUAGGCGUCGACCGGCGCACGGGUGAGUAACGCGUAUCCAACCUGCCCAUCACUUGGGGAUAACCUUGCGAAAGUAAGACUAAUACCCAAUGAAAUCUCUAGAAGACAUCUGAAAGGGAUUAAAGAUUUAUCGGUGAUGGAUGGGGAUGCGUCUGAUUAGCUUGUUGGCGGGGUAACGGCCCACCAAGGCGACGAUCAGUAGGGGUUCUGAGAGGAAGGUCCCCCACAUUGGAACUGAGACACGGUCCAAACUCCUACGGGAGGCAGCAGUGAGGAAUAUUGGUCAAUGGGCGAGAGCCUGAACCAGCCAAGUAGCGUGCAGGAAGACGGCCCUAUGGGUUGUAAACUGCUUUUAUAGGGGAAUAAAGUGAGCUACGUGUAGUUUUUUGCAUGUACCCUAUGAAUAAGGACCGGCUAAUUCCGUGCCAGCAGCCGCGGUAAUACGGAAGGUCCGGGCGUUAUCCGGAUUUAUUGGGUUUAAAGGGAGCGUAGGCCGGAGAUUAAGCGUGUUGUGAAAUGUAGAUGCUCAACGUCUGCACUGCAGCGCGAACUGGUUUCCUUGAGUACGCAUAAAGUGGGCGGAAUUCGUGGUGUAGCGGUGAAAUGCUUAGAUAUCACGAAGAACUCCGAUUG
rnacentral:rRNA from 1 species